rnacentral:rRNA from 1 species
UACGUAGGGAGCAAGCGUUGUUCGGAUUUACUGGGCGUAAAGGGCGCGUAGGCGGCCUACUAAGUCAGACGUGAAAUCCCCCGGCUUAACCUGGGAACUGCGUCUGAUACUGGAAGGCUUGAGGCUGGGAGGGGCUGGUGGAAUUCCCUGUGUAGCGGUGAAAUGCGUAGAGAUGGGGGGAGAACACUCGUGGCGAAGGCGGCCAGCUAGACCAGUUCUGACACUGAGGCGCGAAAGCGUGGGGAGCAAACAGG